rnacentral:rRNA from 1 species
AUUGAACGCUGGCGGCAUGCCUUACACAUGCAAGUCGAACGGUAACGGGCCUUCGGGUGCCGACGAGUGGCGAACGGGUGAGUAAUACAUCGGAACGUGCCCGAUCGUGGGGGAUAACGAGGCGAAAGCUUUGCUAAUACCGCAUACGAUCUACGGAUGAAAGCAGGGGACCGCAAGGCCUUGCGCGGACGGAGCGGCCGAUGGCAGAUUAGGUAGGUGGUGGGAUAAAAGCUUACCAAGCCGACGAUCUGUAGCUGGUCUGAGAGGAUGAUCAGCCACACUGGGACUGAGACACGGCCCAGACUCCUACGGGAGGCAGCAGUGGGGAAUUUUGGACAAUGGGCGCAAGCCUGAUCCAGCCAUGCCGCGUGCAGGAUGAAGGCCUUCGGGCUGUAAACUGCUUUUGUACGGAACGAAAAGCCUUCUUUUAAUACAGGAGGGUCAUGACGGUACCGUAAGAAUAAGCACCGGCUAACUACGUG